rnacentral:misc_RNA from 1 species
GAUGAAGAACGUAGCGAAAUGCGAUAAGUAAUGCGAAUUGCAGAAUUUCCGUGAGUCAUCGAAUCUUUGAACGCACAUUGCGCCCGCCAGUAUUCUGGCGGGCAUGCCUGUUCGAGCGUCAUUUCAACCAUCAAGCCCCCGGCUUGUGUUGGGGACCUGCGGCUGCCGCAGGCCCUGAAAAGCAGUGGCGGGCUCGCUGUCACACCGAGCGUAGUAGCAUACAUCUCGCUCUGGGCGUGCUGCGGGUUCCGGCCGUUAAACCACCUUCAUAACCCAAGGUUGACCUCGGAUCAGGUAGGAAGACCCGCUGAACUUAAGCAUAUCAAUAAGCGGAGGA